CAGCGGUAGAGAGAAGCUUGCUUCUCUUGAGAGCGGCGGACGGGUGAGUAAUGCCUAGGAAUCUGCCUGGUAGUGGGGGAUAACGUUCGGAAACGGACGCUAAUACCGCAUACGUCCUACGGGAGAAAGCAGGGGACCUUCGGGCCUUGCGCUAUCAGAUGAGCCUAGGUCGGAUUAGCUAGUUGGUGGGGUAAUGGCUCACCAAGGCGACGAUCCGUAACUGGUCUGAGAGGAUGAUCAGUCACACUGGAACUGAGACACGGUCCAGACUCCUACGGGAGGCAGCAGUGGGGAAUAUUGGACAAUGGGCGAAAGCCUGAUCCAGCCAUCGCCGCGUGUGUGAAGAAGGUCUUCGGAUUGUAAAGCACUUUAAGUUGGGAGGAAGGGUUGUAGAUUAAUACUCUGCAAUUUUGACGUUACCGACAGAAUAAGCACCGGCUUACUCUGUG
rnacentral:rRNA from 1 species